rnacentral:rRNA from 1 species
AUUCGCCCUUAGAGUUUGAUUCUCGGCUCAGGACGAACGCUGGCGGCACGCCUAACACAUGCAAGUCGAACGGUGAAGGGGGAGCUUGCUCCUCCGGAACAGUGGCGGACGGGUGAGUAACACGUGAGCAACCUGCCUUUCAGAGGGGGACAACAGUUGGAAACGACUGCUAAUACCGCAUAAUGUAUUUUGGCGGCAUCGCCGGAAUACCAAAGGAGCAAUCCGCUGAAAGAUGGGCUCGCGUCUGAUUAGAUAGUUGGUGAGGUAACGGCUCACCAAGUCGACGAUCAGUAGCCGGACUGAGAGGUUGAACGGCCACAUUGGGACUGAGACACGGCCCAGACUCCUACGGGAGGCAGCAGUGGGGGAUAUUGGACCCCCCGGGAAACCCUGAUCCAGCGAUGCCGCGUGAGGGAAGAAGGUAUUCGGAUUGUAAACCUCUGUGGAGGGGGACGAUAAUGACGGUACCCCU